ACACACUGGGGAUUUGACCUCUAUCUCCACUCUCAUUAAUAUGGGUGGCCUAUUUGCUCUUAUUAAAAGGAAAGGGGGAGAUGUUGGGAGCCACGCCCACAUUCGCCGUUACAAGAUGGCGCUGACAGCUGUGUUCUAAGUGGUAAACAAAUAAUCUGCGCAUGUGCCGAGGGUGGUUCUUCACUCCAUGUGCUCUGCCUUCCCCGUGACGUCAACUCGGCCGAUGGGCUGCAGCCAAUCAGGGAGUGACACGUCCGAGGCGAAGGAUAAUUCUCCUAAAAAAGGGACGGGGUUUCGUUUUCUCUCUCUCUUGCUUCUUACGCUCUUGCUUCUUGCACUCUGGCUCCUGAAGAUGUAAGCAAUAAAGCUUUGCCGCAGAAGAUUCUGGUCUGUGGUGUUCUUCCUGGCCGGUCGUGAGAACGCGUCUAAUAACAGCCCAACAACUCCAUUGUUCUUGACUUCUUCGGGCUCUAGCCAGACUCUCCAAAGACAGGGUUGCAUUCCCUUUCCAGUAUGGUCCAUGGAAAACAUGCAGAGGAAAUGGCCCCACAGCAUUGGCUGAGUGUUUAUGUCGUCCAACCGAGUCUCCAUCGAACUGUUGUGGUGUUGCUGACUUGCCCUAGGUCACCUGAGUUAAAAGGGUUGCAUUCCCUUUCCAGUAUGGUCCAUGGAAAACAUGCAGAGGAAAUGGCCCCACAGCAUUGGCUGAGUGUUUAUGUCAUCCAACCGAGUCUCCAUCGAACUGUUGUGGUGUUGCUGACUUGCCCUAGGUCACUUGAGUUAAAUGAGAUGCAUUCCUUUUCCUUCAUGGGCCAUGAGUGACAUCCAGAGAAAGUGUCACCACAACACUGGACAAAAGUUGAUGAUAUCUGAAUGAGCUACCAGUAAACCCCCCCCUUUUUUUGCUGUUAUUGCCUUGCCUGAGGAAAAGCGAGUUAAAAGAUGAUACCUACAGUGAUGAGUUGGAGUUAUAGAUGGUGCCAUUUCUUCUACCAGCAGCUUCACCAAAACAAUCUCCAUUAUACAUGCUGAUGCCUCUUUCCUGUGUAGCAGCAGACACCACCUGCAGAUAAGAAAUGCUUAAGUGAGAAAUGCUCAUUUUGGGAUAUCAUCGCUGAAACUAUAAUUUGGGCAUGGUGACUGUUUCCCUUGCUGCCACUUGACUCAAUCUCAGAAGUUUAAUAGAUCAAAUAAUAUUGUACAAUAUGCUCAAA
rnacentral:lncRNA from 1 species